rnacentral:rRNA from 1 species
CCAGACUCCUACGGGAGGCAGCAGUGGGGGAUAUUGCACAAUGGGCGAAAGCCUGAUGCAGCAACGCCGCGUGAGUGAAGAAGGCCUUCGGGUUGUAAAGCUCUGUCUUUGGGGACGAUAAUGACGGUACCCAAGGAGGAAGCCACGGCUAACUACGUGCCAGCAGCCGCGGUAAUACGUAGGUGGCAAGCGUUGUCCGGAUUUACUGGGCGUAAAGGAUGCGUAGGUGGAUAUUUAAGUCAGAUGUGAAAUACCCGAGCUUAACUUGGGUGCUGCAUUUGAAACUGGAUAUCUAGAGUGCAGGAGAGGUAAGUGGAAUUCCUAGUGUAGCGGUGAAAUGCGUAGAGAUUAGGAAGAACACCAGUGGCGAAGGCGACUUACU